AUGAUUGAGUCGACAAUUUUUCUCAGGUUGUUGCUGACUUUCUUAUCAUGUGUCCAGUCGGAGAUUGUUUUGAUUCAGCCAGAGGCAGAGACUGGCCAUCCCGCAGGCAGCCUGAAACUGACCUGGAAAACCAGCGGCUUCGAUCUUGGCAGCAGCUACAUGCACUGGGUCCGCCAGGUUCCCGGACAGGGUCUGGAGUGGCUGCCGUACUACUAUAAUUCAAACAGCAAUAACUAUGCACCAGCGAUUAAGGAUCGAUUUACUGCGUCCAAAGACACUUCAAACAACAUUUUCGCGUUGGACAUGGGGAACCUGAAGGUCGAAGACACCGCCAUCUAUUACUUGAUAUACUAUCUUGAUUACUGGGGCCAAGGGACCAUGGUGACUGUGACUUCAGAGACACCAUCUCCCCCCACACUUUACUGCCUGGUCUCCUCCUGUCAGGAGCACAACACCGGUUCUGUGGUCUAUGGUUGUUUGGCGAUGGACUAUUCCCCUGACGUCACCAAGGUAACCUGGAAGAAAGGUGGGGAGCUAAUCACGACUGGAUUGAAGACUUACCCAUCAGUGAGAAACAAGAAGGGAACCUACACCCUGAGCAGCUAG